AUUACCGCGGCUGCUGGCACAGAGUUAGCCGGUGCUUAUUCUGUCGGUAACGUCAAGACACCAACGUAUUAGGUUAAUGCCCUUCCUCCCAACUUAAAGUGCUUUACAAUCCGAAGACCUUCUUCACACACGCGGCAUGGCUGGAUCAGGCUUUCGCCCAUUGUCCAAUAUUCCCCACUGCUGCCUCCCGUAGG
rnacentral:rRNA from 1 species